UUGGGCACUCUAGCGAGGACUGCCGGUAAUAAACCGGAGGAAGGUGGGGAUGACGUCAAAUCAUCAUGCCCCUUAUGACCUGGGCUACACACGUGCUACAAUGGUUGGUACAACGAGUUGCGAGUCGGUGACGGCGAGCUAAUCUCUUAAAGCCAAUCUCAGUUCGGAUUGUAGGCUGCAACUCGCCUACAUGAAGUCGGAAUCGCUAGUAAUCGCGGAUCAGCACGCCGCGGUGAAUACGUUCCCGGGCCUU
rnacentral:rRNA from 1 species